rnacentral:tRNA from 1 species
GGGGAUUUAGCUCAGUGGCAUAAGCACCUGCCUUGUAAGCAGGCAAUCGCCAGUUCGAUCCCUGGUACCA